rnacentral:rRNA from 1 species
CUCACUGGUCGAGUCGGCCUGCGCGGAAGAUGUAACGGGGCUAAACCAUGCACCGAAGCUGCGGCAGCGAACGUAUCACUUAAAGCGAUUCAGCGGGUUACGAUUGACGGAGCGAAGCGACGUCAAAGCGUAUACAAAGUCGAGUCGGUUUAAGGAUACGUUCGUUGGGUAGGGGAGCGUUCUGUAAGCCUGUGAAGGUGUGUCGUGAGGCAUGCUGGAGGUAUCAGAAGUGCGAAUGCUGACAUAAGUAACGAUAAAGCGGGUGAAAAGCCCGCUCGCCGGAAGACCAAGGGUUCCUGUCCAACGUUAAUCGGGGCAGGGUGAGUCGACCCCUAAGGCGAGGCCGAAAGGCGUAGUCGAUGGGAAACGGGUUAAUAUUCCCGUACUUGGUGUUACUGCGAAGGGGGGACGGAGAAGGCUAUGUUGGCCGGGCGACGGUUGUCCCGGUUUAAGCGUGUAGGUGUGUGUUCCAGGUAAAUCCGGUUCACUUUAACACUGAGGCGUGACGACGAGGCACUACGGUGCUGAAGCAACAAAUGCCCUGCUUCCAGGAAAAGCCUCUAAGCAUCAGGUAACAUCAAAUCGUACCCCAAACCGACACAGGUGGUCAGGUAGAGAAUACCAAGGCGCUUGAGAGAACUCGGGUGAAGGAACUAGGCAAAAUGGUGCCGUAACUUCGGGAGAAGGCACGCUGACACGUAGGUGAAGUGAUUUACUCAUGGAGCUGAAGUCAGUCGAAGAUACCAGCUGGCUGCAACUGUUUAUUAAAAACACAGCACUGUGCAAACACGAAAGUGGACGUAUACGGUGUGACGCCUGCCCGGUGCCGGAAGGUUAAUUGAUGGGGUCAGCGCAAGCGAAGCUCCUGAUCGAAGCCCCGGUAAACGGCGGCCGUAACUAUAACGGUCCUAAGGUAGCGAAAUUCCUUGUCGGGUAAGUUCCGACCUGCACGAAUGGCGUAAUGAUGGCCAGGCUGUCUCCACCCGAGACUCAGUGAAAUUGAACUCGCUGUGAAGAUGCAGUGUACCCGCGGCAAGACGGAAAGACCCCGUGAACCUUUACUAUAGCUUGACACUGAACAUUGAGCCUUGAUGUGUAGGAUAGGUGGGAGGCUUUGAAGUGUGGACGCCAGUCUGCAUGGAGCCGACCUUGAAAUACCACCCUUUAAUGUUUGAUGUUCUAACGUGGACCCGUGAUCCGGGUUGCGGACAGUGUCUGGUGGGUAGUUUGACUGGGGCGGUCUCCUCCUAAAGAGUAACGGAGGAGCACGAAGGUUGGCUAAUCCUGGUCGGACAUCAGGAGGUUAGUGCAAUGGCAUAAGCCAGCUUGACUGCGAGCGUGACGGCGCGAGCAGGUGCGAAAGCAGGUCAUAGUGAUCCGGUGGUUCUGAAUGGAAGGGCCAUCGCUCAACGGAUAAAAGGUACUCCGGGGAUAACAGGCUGAUACCGCCCAAGAGUUCAUAUCGACGGCGGUGUUUGGCACCUCGAUGUCGGCUCAUCACAUCCUGGGGCUGAAGUAGGUCCCAAGGGUAUGGCUGUUCGCCAUUUAAAGUGGUACGCGAGCUGGGUUUAGAACGUCGUGAGACAGUUCGGUCCCUAUCUGCCGUGGGCGCUGGAGAACUGAGGGGGGCUGCUCCUAGUACGAGAGGACCGGAGUGGACGCAUCACUGGUGUUCGGGUUGUCAUGCCAAUGGCACUGCCCGGUAGCUAAAUGCGGAAGAGAUAAGUGCUGAAAGCAUCUAAGCACGAAACUUGCCCCGAG